CAAUAGCGUAUAUUAAAGUUGUUGCAGUUAAAAAGCUCGUAGCUGAAUUGAUGAAGUUUGUUCUUCAAGCUCUAAAAAGUUCGAAUGAACGUAAGCUUCAACUUGUUGAUUGGAAAUGCUUUAUGCAUUGCCAUAUCAACUUUUACUUUGAGUAAAUUAGAGUGUUUCAAGCAGGCUGACUGCCUUGAAUACUCCAGCAUGGAAUAAUCGAAUGACAUUCGAAGUUUUUGUUGGUUGACGCGGAGAUGUAUUGAUUGAUAGGAACAGCUGGGGGUAUUCGUAUUCAACAGUCAGAGGUGAAAUUCUUAGAUUUGUUGAAGACGAACUAAUGCGAAAGCAUUUACCAAGAAUGUUUCCAUUAGC
rnacentral:rRNA from 1 species